UUAAAUGAGUGCGAGGAAAUGCGAAUGGUAUUAGUAUACCAAGUUAAAUGAGAUCAGACAAAUACGUGGAAAUAAUGGCUGUAACGUUUUACGGUCAGUCGUUCGAUGGAAUCUUCUGUAAAUUUGGUUACAUACCUGAAAAUAUGGUACCAUACGAAUCUAGGGUGAAUACGUGAAACGCAAUGUCGCGUGACGGUUGUUUUUAGCGCUACUACCCAGUGAAAUUCAUAAAGCACCGACUAAUUUUUCAUUUCUACAUGAGGAUGGCGCUCGGAUUACAUUGCUAGCUAAUGAUAUUAUCGAGUCUCAGGUACGCGCACGAAUUAGUAUCAGCAUAAUUAAUGGAUUAAUUAUUGGAUUGAAGAAAUUAUGUUUUUAAUUCUGUUUAGAUAAACAAUUUUAAAUUAGUUUAAUUGUAUGCUAUUAUUUAUAAUAAAUUAAUUUUAUAAAUUAUUAUUAUAGUAAUAUAAUAUUUUUAUUUUUAUAAAUGGAAAAGAUAUUAUUGUUUUCAAUUAUUUAUAUGAAUUUAAAUAUAUGAAUACAUUAUAAAAAUUGA